rnacentral:piRNA from 1 species
UGGGGCAACAACAAUUUCGUU